rnacentral:rRNA from 1 species
GAUGAACGCUGGCGGCGUGCCUAAUACAUGCAAGUCGAGCGAACAGACGAGGAGCUUGCUCCUCUGACGUUAGCGGCGGACGGGUGAGUAACACGUGGAUAACCUACCUAUAAGACUGGGAUAACUUCGGGAAACCGGAGCCAAUACCGCAUAAUAUAUUGUACCGCAUGGUUCAAUAGUGAAAGACGGUUUUGCUGUCACUUAUAGCUGGAUCCGCAUCGGAUUAGCUAGUUGGUAAGGUAACGGCUUACCAAGGCGACGAUGCGUAGCCGACCUGAGAGGGGGGUCGACCACACUGGAACUGGGACACGGUCCAGGCUCCUGCGGGAGGCCACAGUAGGGAAUCUUCCGCAAUGGGCGGAAGCCUGGCGGAACAACGCCGCGUGGGGGGAAGAGGUCUUCGGAUCGUAAAACUCUGUUAUUAGGGAAAAACAAAUGUGUAAGUAACUCUGCACGUCUUGACGGUACCUAAACAGAAAGCCACGGCUAACUACGUG